GUUAUAGAGAGUAAUCGGCCGCCCACGGGAUGGCCUUCGUCUGGAGUUAUAAAAUUUGAUACUGUUGUGUUACGCUAUAGAACUGAGCUCCCCACCCGUCUUGCAUGGGAUCUCUUUUAGUGUUUUUUCUAAUGAAAAAGUUGGAAUAAUUGGACGGACUGGGGCUGGAAAAUCAAGCAUACUUAAUGCAUUAUUUCGUAUUGUUGAACUAGAAACAGGAAGAAUAUUCAUUGAUGGUUUGGAUAUAGCAAAAUUUGGAUUCUGGGAUUUGAGAGAAGUUGUUGGGAUUAUACCACAAUCACCCGUUCUUUUUGCAGGUAAAGGAUUUGAUCAUAUUUAAAAUCAUCUUGGUUUCCUAGGUCCCAUUUGGUAAGCCUGAUUGGUUUUGUAAAUUUAGGUUGUUUAAUACCUCUUUCACCCGAGAAUAUCUGGCUUACAUAUGUUCUUUUUACUGAUGUUUAAAAAAAUCAGCAGAAGUUUUGAAAAUUAAAAUAAAAAGGUGGUUUUUAAAGUUCGCUUAUGUUUUUAGAACCAUGGCUAAAAAUAAUUCAAUUAGUGUACUUAAGAAAAAUAAAGGUCAUGGUAAGACAUAGAAGAAAUGGACUUAAUCUUCAAAAACCAAAAACUAAAAAAAGUUAACAAACCGGGUUAUAGUUAUAUAGUUAUAGCGUUUUCUUUUUAUUUUCUCAUUGUGGUGUCUUGUUUUAUGCAGGAAGUGUUAGGUUUAAUCUAGAUCCAUUCCAAGAACACGCCGACGUUGAACUUUGGGAAGUUCUUGAGAGGGCACAUUUAAAGGAUGUCAUAGGGAGGAAUACAUUGGGCUUGGAUGCUGAGGUUUUAGAGUUGGGCAGAAUUUUAGUGUUAACCUUGCUAGAGCACUUCUUCGACGAUCAAAAAUACUUGUUCUUGAUGAAGCGACUGCAGCGGUUGAUGUUCAAACAGAUGCCUUAAUUCAGAAAACCAUUAAGGAAGAGUUUAAAUCUUGUACAAUGCUCACUAUUGCACACAGAUUAAAUACCAUCAUAGACUGUGAUCGAAUUCUUCUACUUGAAUUUGGUCAGGUGUUGGAGUACGACACUCCAAAACAACUUUUAUCGAAUGAAGAAAGUGAUUUUUCAAAGAUGGUUCAAAGUACAGGAGUUGCCAAUGCUCAAUACUUGCACAAAUUAGUAUUUGAAGGUCAAGACAACAUAGGAAUA